AAUCCGAAACCGGCCGCGUAAACAAAAUGUUUGUCGUGUCGCGAAACUCAGGGCGACGCAUUGAUUCGUUUAUUUAUUUUGUUUUUUUUUUUUUUUUUUUUUUAUAUUCGUUUACUUUAGCUCUUCCGUUUACUUUGCACACGUUUGAAUGUGUAUCGUUUGAAAGACGUCUGGAAACCGAGAGAACCCGGAGAGAACUUACAACACGCUCG